UAUGAGCCAGAUGCUUAUGAUGACCU
rnacentral:piRNA from 1 species